AAUGAACGCUGGCGGCGUGCUUAACACAUGCAAGUCGAGCGAGGCGGAGGGGGCAACUCCUCUAGCCGAGCGGCGGACGGGUGAGUAACACGUGGGUAACCUGCCCGGAAGUGGGGAAUACCUCGGGGAAACUCGAGCUAAUGCCGCAUAAAAUCUCCGGGACGAAAGUCCUGGCGAUCAAAGCGGGGUCGCAAGAUCUCGCGCUACCGGAUGGGCCCGCGCCCGAUUAGCUAGUUGGUGAGGUAAUGGCUCACCAAGGCAACGAUCGGU
rnacentral:rRNA from 1 species